rnacentral:rRNA from 1 species
GAUGAACGCUGGCGGCGUGCCUAAUACAUGCAAGUCGAGCGAACGGACGAGAAGCUUGCUUCUCUGAUGUUAGCGGCGGACGGGUGAGUAACACGAGGAUAACCUACCUAUAAGACUGGGAUAACUUCGGGAAACCGGAGCUAAUACCGGAUAAUAUUUUGAACCGCAUGGUUCAAAAGUGAAAGACGGUCUUGCUGUCACUUAUAGAUGGAUCCGCGCUGCAUUAGCUAGUUGGUAAGGUAACGGCUUACCAAGGCAACGAUGCAUAGCCGACCUGAGAGGGUGAUCGGCCACACUGGAACUGAGACACGGUCCAGACUCCUACGGGAGGCAGCAGUAGGGAAUCUUCCGCAAUGGGCGAAAGCCUGACGGAGCAACGCCGCGUGAGUGAUGAAGGUCUUCGGAUCGUAAAACUCUGUUAUUAGGGAAGAACAUAUGUGUAAGUAACUGUGCACAUCUUGACGGUACCUAAUCAGAGAGCCACGGCUAACUACGUG